AACGAACGCUGGCGGGUGCCUAACACAUGCAAGUCGAACGAGAAAGUUUCCUUCGGGAAAUGAGUAGAGUGGCGCACGGGUGAGUAACACGUGGAUAAUCUGCCUGAUAAUCUGGGAUAACAUUUCGAAAGAAGUGCUAAUACCGGAUAAGCCCACAGUAUCUUCGGGUACAGCGGGAAAAGAUGGCCUCUUCUUGAAAGCUAUUGUUAUCAGAUGAGUCCGCGGUCCAUUAGCUAGUUGGUGGGGUAAUGGCCCACCAAGGCGACGAUGGAUAGCUGGUUUGAGAGAAUGAUCAGCCACACUGGAACUGAGACACGGUCCAGACUCCUACGGGAGGCAGCAGUGGGGAAUCUUGCGCAAUGGGGGCAACCCUGACGCAGCAACGCCGCGUGAGUGAU
rnacentral:rRNA from 1 species